ACCUGUUCAGUGCAGUCAGACCUUGGCAGCCAUCUUACAGCUUGGCAACCAUUUUGAGAAUGUGCCUGGCAAGCUCUCAGAGCUCGCCGACACUGUUUCAACAGAGCGCUGGUUAAAUAUAGUCCAAAUUAAACAAUACCCUGGAAUAUCAGGUAAAGUCGCCCUUCAGACGUGCACCCCGCAGGUGUUUGUAAGCACAUCUUUAAAGAGAGACGGACACUGUGCUUCCCAUGGGCACCUUAACCCUUUGCAGGGCACGGCGCUGGCAAAGCCCCACCGAGGCACCCACGAGGGGGUCCCGAUGAUGGGAAUACUGCACAACGGGGACCCUGUGGACGCUGGGGACACAGAGGAUGUGUUGCCUUUCAUCACUGUUUAACGAGGCCCCAGGAACCCCACCGGGAGCAAAGGCCCCUCCAAAGGAGGAAAUGGGAUGACAGAGGGACUCUGUACACAACAACACGCAAACCCGCAGCUGUCGUGUGAGAAAAAACUACUUUCGCAGCUUUAAUUUCCUGACAAACUUUUCCAUGUGCUUCUCUCCCAGAGACAAAAGGAAAAGUUUCAGGAGAAAAAAGUCAUCCCAGCAGCCAGACAUCUUAGGGAAGGCUGGUUUAUUGAGAGAGCCCGAUGGCGGGGCGAGCUGUAAACAAACACUUCCCUUCUUCUCCCCACCCUGCGAGAUCGGCGUGUUUUUGGGCCAAACGCCCUUCACUCUGACAGUGCCAAAAUCCCAAGGAAGACUUUGUGCCAGAUGAAGAAAGGCACAGUUGUCAGAAGCUGCUCUGGCCCAGGAGUAGGAAAAGUGCUGUGAGGAGCUGAGAGAAGCGCGUCGGAACCGCUCCUCGGGGCCAGGGGGUACAGCAAGAGGAAGUGCUAUGUGGUGAACAUCCAUCUACCCCUUCUCCAGAUUUGCGGUAGAAGAACGACAGCAGCAACCUUCCCCACCAAUGCCAUGUUCUUCAGAAAUAAAGAACCAAGUCACUCAAGAAGCAAGGGGGGAAAUGGGUUCUUGGAGAGGAGAUUUGACAAAAGAUGAGAGCAGCUGUUUAUCCACUUCAGAGGGCUCUGCUCAUCUCCAGGUCCCUGAAGGACUAGAACUGAGGUGCCAGCUCCCAGCAGCAGCUGUCCUGGCCCGAGCGGGUGCUGCCCAAGUGCAAGGCACCCCCAUCUUCCUCCCUAGAGGAAGAGGAGGCAGAGCUACGGGGCCAUGGCCAAGACACCCGGGAGGCAGCUGCUCACUGGGCAGCCCUACAGACACUUUACAGCUGCCUUCUUCACAGCAUUCCCAAGAAAGUGAUGUGACUCUCCCCAGGCGAUGAGUCCACCUUCUGUAAUACCGGGAUCAAGUUGCACUGCAUUGGAACAGCCAGGAUGAAUCAAGUCCUCGGGACUCUCUUUUUCACAGCAAGGGGAAAAAUAUGAGCACAUACAUUCAUAAAGCUGCACCAAACUAUUAUGUAAAUGCUACAUGUUGGAGUGGGUAUUUUAGUUUUAUGGUGGGACAGCAGGAAUAAGCUUAUAAAUCUAAGGCCUGGGGUCAAUGCUUAAGCAGAGAUUACCUCUAAGCUUUACUUACACAUUCUAUUUUGGCCCAACAAUUUGCAAUGUAUUUCUGGAAAAGAGAACAGUCCCUGCUCAUUCCUGCUGGGAUAAGAUGCAUCUUCCUGAGAUGUCUGGGGCGGCACCUAAGAAGGGCUGGCAAAUUCCUGUCGGAGCAGUAAAGACGGCAAUCUGACUUGAGCUGUGGUGGGGAUAAAGUAAAUCUGCUCGGGUUCAGGCUGGACCUUUCUCUGGCUUGUGACACCGGCUUUCCUGCAGCCUCACCACUAUCCUACAGCUCGUCAUGACCCUCAUCCUGGCAGCUUCGCCUCCAGCCAAGAUCCGCGAUGGCUCCUUCCAAAACAAACCAAGACAAAGUUGCUCUGGAGCAAUGUUUUCCCUGAACCGAGCACAACGUGACUCCGCUUCCACCCACGUAGUAACCCACCCGGCAUGCCCAGCAGCCUGCGACCAAAGCACACAAAAACCAGCACUCCAAGCCCUCCAGCUGCCAAAAGGGAAUCCAAAAGCUUAGAUCAAGAGAGAAAAACUGUGCAGGAAUUAUAAAGAAGUCUCAAUACAAUCGGCAAACAAUAUCUGCACACCUGCACACCCCCUCUUCUUGAGGACAUGACUUACAGGUGCUGCUGUCUGAAACGGGGCCUGUACGCUUCCACUGGCAUCACCUCACUUCCACCUGGCUCACAAAAUAAGGUUGUAAAAUAAGAAUAACCUUUUAACAACAUAGUGUUACUUGAGGAAUGAGAUUCUCGGUACACAGAAGGUAUCAGAAGGCAUCAUCAAAACAUUACGAUAGAUA